rnacentral:rRNA from 1 species
AACGAACGCUGGCGGCAGGCUUAACACAUGCAAGUCGAGCGCCCCGCAAGGGGAGCGGCAGACGGGUGAGUAACGCGGGGGAAUCUACCCAUCACUACGGAACAACUCCGGGAAACUGGAGCUAAUACUGUAUACGUACUUCGGGAGAAAGAUUUAUCGGUGAUGGAUGAGCCCGCGUUGGGUUAGCGAGUUGGUGGGGUAAUGGCCUACCAAGGCGACGAUCCAUAGCUGGUCUGAGAGGAUGAUCAGCCACACUGGGACUGGGACACGGCCCAGACUCCUACGGGAGGCAGCAGUGGGGAAUAUUGGACAAUGGGCGAAAGCCUGAUCCAGCCAUGCCGCGUGAGUGAUGACGGCCCUAGGGUUGUAAAGCUCUUUCGCAGGUGAAGAUAAUGACGGUAACCUGAGAAGAAGCCCCGGCUAACUUCGUGCCAGCCGCCGCCGUAAGAC